rnacentral:rRNA from 1 species
AGUCGAACGCUUCUUUUCCCACCGGAGCUUGCUCCACCGGGAAAAGAGGAGUGGCGAACGGGUGAGUAACACGUGGGUAACCUGCCCAUCAGAAGGGGAUAACACUUGGAAACAGGUGCUAAUACCGUAUAACAAUCGAAACCGCAUGGUUUCGUUUUGAAAGGCGCUUUACGGUGCCGCUGAUGGAUGGACCCGCGGUGCAUUAGCUAGUUGGUGAGGUAACGGCUCACCAAGGCCACGAUGCAUAGCCGACCUGAGAGGGUGAUCGGCCACAUUGGGACUGAGACACGGCCCAAACUCCUACGGGAGGCAGCAGUAGGGAAUCUUCGGCAAUGGACGAAAGUCUGACCGAGCAACGCCGCGUGAGUGAAGAAGGUUUUCGGAUCGUAAAACUCUGUUGUUAGAGAAGAACAAGGGUGAGAGUAACUGUUCACCCCUUGACGGUAUCUAACCAGAAAGCCACGGCUAACUACGUGCCAGCAGCCGCGGUAAUACGUAGGUGGCAAGCGUUGUCCGGAUUUAUUGGGCGUAAAGCGAGCGCAGGCGGUUUCUUAAGUCUGAUGUGAAAGCCCCCGGCUCAACCGGGGAGGGUCAUUGGAAACUGGGAGACUUGAGUGCAGAAGAGGAGAGUGGAAUUCCAUGUGUAGCGGUGAAAUGCGUAGAUAUAUGGAGGAACACCAGUGGCGAAGGCGGCUCUCUGGUCUGUAACUGACGCUGAGGCUCGAAAGCGUGGGGAGCAAACAGGAUUAGAUACCCUGGUAGUCCACGCCGUAAACGAUGAGUGCUAAGUGUUGGAGGGUUUCCGCCCUUCAGUGCUGCAGCUAACGCAUUAAGCACUCCGCCUGGGGAGUACGACCGCAAGGUUGAAACUCAAAGGAAUUGACGGGGGCCCGCACAAGCGGUGGAGCAUGUGGUUUAAUUCGAAGCAACGCGAAGAACCUUACCAGGUCUUGACAUCCUUUGACCACUCUAGAGAUAGAGCUUCCCCUUCGGGGGCAAAGUGACAGGUGGUGCAUGGUUGUCGUCAGCUCGUGUCGUGAGAUGUUGGGUUAAGUCCCGCAACGAGCGCAACCCUUAUUGUUAGUUGCCAUCAUUUAGUUGGGCACUCUAGCAAGACUGCCGGUGACAAACCGGAGGAAGGUGGGGAUGACGUCAAAUCAUCAUGCCCCUUAUGACCUGGGCUACACACGUGCUACAAUGGGAAGUACAACGAGUCGCGAAGUCGCGAGGCUAAGCUAAUCUCUUAAAGCUUCUCUCAGUUCGGAUUGUAGGCUGCAACUCGCCUACAUGAAGCCGGAAUCGCUAGUAAUCGCGGAUCAGCACGCCGCGGUGAAUACGUUCCCGGGCCUUGUACACACCGCCCGUCACACCACGAGAGUUUGUAACACCCGAAGUCGGUGAGGUAACCUUUUUGGAGCCAG